UACGUAGGGGGCUAGCGUUGUCCGGAUUUAUUGGGCGUAAAGAGCGUGUAGGCGGCCAGGUAGGUCUGCUGUGAAAACUCGAGGCUCAACCUCGAGACGUCGGCGGAAACCACCUGGCUAGAGUCCGGAAGAGGAGAGUGGAAUUCCUGGUGUAGCGGUGAAAUGCGCAGAUAUCAGGAGGAACACCGGUGGCGAAGGCGGAUCUCUGGGCCUUACCUGACGCUGAGGCGCGAAAGCUAGGGGAGCGAACAGG
rnacentral:rRNA from 1 species